rnacentral:tRNA from 1 species
GCCUCCGUGGUGUAAUGGUCAGCACGGUCGAUGCGUAACCGAGAGGUCCGUGGUUCGAUUCCCGGCCAAGGCG